CGCUGCACAGAGACACUCUCCUCUCUCCUCAGGAACAAACUGGUGCCUGCUCCACAGUUUGUCAUCAAGAAUUCCAACCAAACAAAAAGGGCUGUCAUUCUGAGGGGCCUGCCAUAUUUCCUCCGUGAAGAAACUCUGUGAGUUCCUCAGGACUGCAGAGCCCACAGACAUGGAGGACAGCAUGACGAGGGGAAUGAAUGUCGGCAUUGUCCUAGUAAAAGAAGGAGAGGAUCUUCUUGACAUAUCGGUGGUCCUGGAGGAACAGAUCAUUCUGCAUGGCAUCAAGGACUACUCGCAUGCGGUAGCUAUGUUAAUGGGUCU